UUACAACUAUUCUUCCCCUAUUUAAACUAACCCUUGCAAAAUAACAGAAUACUACCCUGUCCAUUACAUUCAACCCGCCUAAGUCAACUUAUCCAGCCCAGCCAGUCAACUCAUCUAGCUCAUAUCAUCCCUUAGUCAUAGCAGCUGAGCAAUGUUAGUGAUGUUAUUUUGUUUCCUUCCAUUGCAGUUAUCUACAGAUCGUUAGUUAGAUAUUCUUCACUUUUUGCACUCAUUUUAUUUUUCUCUUCAGGAAUUGGCCUGUGUUUUCCGACUUAUUAAUUCAAAUGUCAACUUCUCUUGAUAAUAUGGAGGUUCUCAAAUAGUGAGAUUCCUGGAUGAAAAUAGAAAGGUUUAUAUUCAUUCAAGAUCUCAGUAUUAGUCACUGCAAAAAGUUCAAAAGCUAUUGGAGGGUAUUGGAGGGUGUCUAACUGUCGGGAGCACUCGUGUAGAAGGCAAAGAUUUCUUCUGGUAGCAGAUGUGUGAUAACUUGUCAACAAUGCAUAGCUAAACAAACCUCACUACCUAUCCUGGUCAGUCAUUUAAACUUUAUUUUGUUGUGAUAGUUUUCUGCAGAUUCCACACACUUCCAUGAACAAUUGGCAAUUGUUUGCAUGAGUUCUCUCUAACAAAUUUGAAGCAGAGAAGAUAUCAAGACAGUGACUACAGAUAAUGU
rnacentral:misc_RNA from 1 species